rnacentral:rRNA from 2 species
UGGGGAAUAUUGGGCAAUGGGCGCAAGCCUGACCCAGCGACGCCGCGUGAGGGAUGAAGGCCUUCGGGUUGUAAACCUCUUUCAGUAGGGAAGAAGCGAAAGUGACGGUACCUAAAGAAGAAGCACCGGCUAACUAUGUG